UACGGGGGGAGCAAGCGUUGUUCGGAUUUACUGGGCGUAAAGGGCGCGUAGGCGGCCUCCGCAAGUCAGUUGUGAAAUCUCCGAGCUUAACUCGGAAAGGUCAACUGAUACUGCGGGGCUAGAGUGCGGAAGGGGCAACUGGAAUUCUUGGUGUAGCGGCGAAAUGCGUAGAUAUCAAGAGGAACACCUGCGGCGAAGGCGGGUUGCUGGGCCGACACUGACGCUGAGGCGCGAAAGCUAGGGGAGCGAACGGG
rnacentral:rRNA from 1 species